UUGAGAGCGGGUGUGAAAUAACUCUUGUUCACUGGCCAAACAUUGGGGGAGCAACCACGGUGUUAUAGGCGUUGGAGAUGAAAAUCUGGGUUUCUCCCUGUGUGGCCGAGAGAGAGACCUGGAGUUGCAUCACUUCUUCCUGGGUGGUCCUCUUGAGAAUCAGACUUAUGUGGUCAUUACAAGGCCUCCCUUUCUACUGGAUACCACUGUCUUCUAGAAGAGCCUGCACACCUUCCAGACCAGCAUUGGGGCAGCAGCAUCUAGAAAAGACCUAUCCAGUGCAUCAAGAUCCCACAUAACUGGAAACCCACGGCAGGUGAAGAGAACAGGAUCCACCCCUACCGGGGAAUACUACACAGCUAUAGAAAAAGACAAAAUGUUGCCUUUGCAGCUAAAUGGAAGGAACACAAUGGAAAUAGGACACAAAAUCAGCUGGAAAGAAAAAAGGGUAAGGAUUGGACUCUUGUGCACAAUACAGGGAUGUAAGAGGGAUGAGAAGAGUGAACUGACUCAAAAGGCCACCCAGUGGGCACUGAGAUCUAAGGCUUCCCAAAGAGAAGACGGUCGGGGGAGGGAAGUAUGCAAAAUCCAGAGAAAUAAAAUCCAGUUCCUCUGUAGUCUGUGACCCUGCUCGGCACAAGCCACUGUGACUGCUGGGACUUUUCAAAGCCAGUUGGGGAGCAGGCUGACAUCGGAGCCCCAAGAGCCAGGCAGAGGGGGGACAGCAGCCAGGGCACUCAGUGUGGGGUCCCAGAGACCCCUGGGGGAGACAGACACCCCUGACCAACUCCCUCCCUGCCCCUCCGCUGCCCUGGCGCCUGCCUACUGGGUACGGGAGGCUCAUUGCCAAAUCCCAGUUUUACUGGCACACCCACUCCAAAGAGUUCUUUCUCAGCU